rnacentral:miRNA from 1 species
UUCUGAGCUUAGCUACUGUUUC